UUGGAGGGCAAGUCUGGUGCCAGCAGCCGCGGUAAUUCCAGCUCCAAUAGCGUAUAUUAAAGUUGUUGCAGUUAAAAAGCUCGUAGUUGAACCUCGGGGUCUACCCAUUGGUCAGGCUUAGUUGUCUGCACUGGUGAGAUGGAUCUCUACCUUCUGAGGAACUUUCAUGCCAUUUAUUUGGUGUGAUGGGGAAUCAGGACUGUUACUUUGAAAAAAUUAGAGUGUUUAAAGCAGACUAUCGUCUGAAUACAUUAGCAUGGAAUAAUGAAAUAGGACGGACUGAUUCUAUUUCGUUGGUUUCUAGGAUCACCGUAAUGAUUAAUAGGGAUAGUUGGGGGCAUUAGUAUUCAAUUGUCAGAGGUGAAAUUCUUGGAUUUAUUGAAGACUAACUACUGCGAAAGCAUUUGCCAAGGAUGUUUUCAUUAAUCAAGAACGAAAGUUAGGGGAUCGAAGACGAUCAGAUACCGUCGUAGUCUUAACCAUAAACUAUGCCGACUAGGGAUCGGACGAAGUUAAUUUUAUAAUGACGCGUUCGGCGCCUUACGGGAAAC
rnacentral:rRNA from 1 species